CAUGAGCAGCAGCACGAGAUAGUCAUCCAUACUUCUCUCUCUCACCCGAGCAGGUUUGCAUGUGCACGCACCUUCAGGGCACUUAUUCAUGUGGAGAGCACGGAAGAACGUGGUGCAUCAUAUUGUACACCCUCGUCGCCCCCCCCCCUAAACACACACAGAUACACUCCCCAGUGUGCUAGCGUCGCGCAACAUCCAUUCACCAUAGGUGUGUCUGCUCUCAGCUCCACAAGAAAAAGGGCACGCUUAUCCCGGGCGCACGCGAAACAGACAGGCCCACACAAGGACGCACAUGCAAGCGCUUCGCGCACACACGAUCUACGAUGUCUCAUUUCGGCGCUGAUCGCUCCUCCGCACAGCCGGUGCCGCCCAUCGACUCCUUUGUUGAGGUGCUUCCAGUAGCGCCGCAGGUGGAGCGACGCCGCGGGAUUCUGCGCUUCUACGGCCUAACGGAUUUCGCCGAGGGUGAGUGGGCCGGCGUCGAGCUCGUCGGGUGUGAGGGCCGCAACGAUGGAACAGUCAAGGGCCUCUUCUACUUCAAAUGCGCAGCUGGCCAAGGCCUCUUUGUUCGGCCCAACCUUAUUGCGCCGUAUGCCCCAGCGCGUCCGGCACCAACGUUGGAAGCUGCCUCGGCAAAGAUUGAGGCGCUGGAGGAAGAGCUGCGGGUGGUGCGCCGCGAGGCAGUGGAGCAGGAGAGACUGAAAGACAGCCUCGAGGCGUCACUGCACAGCAUGCAGGCGGAGCUCGAGCAGCUGAGAGUUGCAGCAGUGCAAGCAGCCGCCAAGGGGGACGCCAAGACGGAGGAUGACGAUGACAAACUCGCGGUGCAAGUGCAGCUGGAGUCGGUGCGACUUGAGUUUCAGCGCCAGCUGGAGACCUGCGAGGCGGAGCUGAAAGCUGCUAAGCAGUCAGCGAGCGAAGCAGCGGCCGCCUGUGCCGCUGCCGAGAAACGGGAGCAGCAGGCAGAGAGCGCGCGGCAGUGCAGCGACGCGGCACAGGCAGCGCUGCAGACCCGCAAUGACGAGCUUCAGACGGAGCUGACCCGUCUGCAAGCGGAGCCAGCCACAGCAGUGACUCAGCAGAGUCAGUUAGCUCAGAACUCCUCCGAAGCUGCGGCGGAAGCCUCGGCCGCCUGCGCGGAACUGCGGGCUGCAUUGCGGGCCAAGGAAGCUGAGCUGCUGCAGCUCCGUGCAGCUCAUGCAGAGAUGUCUCGCACUCACGAGCAACUCCAAGAACGGAAAGCAGAGGAGCAAGAGCGAGUUCAAGCAGCAGAAAAGCGCUGCGAAGAGCAACAACGAUGGCAGCUGCAGGACACUGCUCGCGAAGACGUCCUGGCGGCUCACGCGAGCGAAAUAGCACGUCUGCACGCCGAAAUCGCUUCCGUGAAAACAGAGAAAGAGGCGUUGGCCAAAGCACAGCGCGACAAGGAAGAGCUGCAGGAACUGUGCCAACUGCUGGAAGAGGAGCUCAAUGAGCAGAAGGCGCAGUCUGACGCGCUUACGCGCUUGGUGCAGGAGCUCGGUGCCGCCAAAGCCGCGGCGGAAGCUGCUGUCGAGGGAGCAAAGCAGUCGGCUGCGCAGGAGAGGGCCCGCCUGCUUCGCGAACUGGAGGCAGCGCGUGCCCCUGAAGUGCAGGUCACGGCAGCAGGCGCAGUCUCUGAAGGAGGAGUCACAGGCCGGUCAAGCACGAGCAGCACCGCCACGGCGGAAAAGCCCUCUCUCGAAAUUGCCCUUCAGCAGUGUCGGGGCGAGCUGGACGAGGCGCGCGCGCGCAUCUUGCAGCUCGCCAGCUCCCAACAGGUGGUCCAGGAGCUGCAGCGCCGCUGCGAAGAGCUGGAAGAGACGAUGCGGGUGCAACGCGCCGAGGCGCAAAAAUCGGACGAUGUUGCUCGAGCAACACUCGCUGCCGCGCAACAGCACCACGCACAUCAGGUAGCGCUGCUGCGGGAUGCCUGCGAAGCGGGACGGCGUGAGGCGGCAUCCAUGGCCGCCCAGCUCAAUCUCGCAGCCAUUCCACGGGAAGCAAGCGGCGGUCAUUCCACUGCGGCUGCCGCGCCCUUUGUGUCCCCUCUCGACGCUUUCCGCGAGGCCCGCUACGAAGCACGUAUCCGCUCGCUGGAGCAGCUCUUGCUCGAGUGCGACGCGACGCGCAUGUCGUCGGCUAUAUGGGACGUGCCUGCCUCUCAGACACGGACGUGGCGCGAUUCCGAGGUGCCGCUAGCGCUUCUGAAGGAGCCAGUCGGGAGGCUCCUCGACUUCAGCACCCGCGAUGCGUGCGCCGCGUCCGCCAAGGCGCUCUUUCAGACACCAACUGCGUCGCCCUAGUUCACGGAGGUGCGGACGGCGUUGGUGAUGAGGGGCACAUGCUGCAGUGAUCGCUGCCACGCCCAUCGCUCAGUUCAGCAGGUGUGUGCCCCUCUGGUGAGCCUAGGCAUGUCUGCUACGUGGGGUCGACUCGACGGUGGGCAGCAGCGCACUCGUUGCCGCAAUCCACCUGCUUCUACCCGCGCAAUACUCUGUGCCACCAGUAAUGUUCUUUUGUGGUGUGGCUUAUGUUUGUGUGUGUGUGUGUUUCACUGUCGUGUAUCUCUGCUAGGCAUGUCUCGCCUCUUUCUUCUUCGCUUCAGAUCAAGGAGCAGCGCUCACCGAAAGC
rnacentral:misc_RNA from 1 species